UCAACCUUCAGCCCUGCAAACUGGACCCACUUGCUGUCCACAAGGCUGCUGCUUUUCCUGCCAAGUGUCAGCGCAAAGGAAUCCAAAGAGAUCCUGUCUUAUGUUUCUGGUUGUGAUGCCUUCCAAGCUGUGGUGUCCUCGCUGAGCCAAGUUUAUUCUGCAAUACUACCAACCAACCAACUAGGCGUCUACAGGACCUUGUUCUCCUACCUUGACAACCAGCACAAGACCACAGGAUCGGCGUGUACCUCCAACACCAGGGAUUCCGAGGCAUGGCUACAAGAUAACCUGGGGGCCUUCGCAGCCCAAGCUCCUUACAGCGAUUUCACCACGCUGGUGGCCACGUUC